GUAAGCGACGUACACUCCAGCUGAGAAAACAACUUUUGCUAUGUUCGUUGAAUUUACGUCUUGUUACCCCCGUUGAGGUUACUUAGUGUUUAGUGUUCUUUCGGAAAAGCGUAAAAAGGGUAUUUAUGGUCAGUUGGUGAAGCAACAAUGCUACGUGAUAUUACAUCAGUGUUACUCGGUGGCUCAAAAGGCCUGCCCCCAACACUCGCCUUCCUCUUUAAGCUUGCCUGGGCUUCACGAGUACGCCUCCCCUUACUCAUUGCGAUCGGAUUCAUGGUAACCAACAUCCACCUGCGUCUGGAAAUCAAUGUGAACAUUGAGGUUGGUGAAGACGAUCCUCCUCCGAAUGACCAGCAGCAACAGUUGCAAUUGGCUCACGACUAAGAGCAGUAUCUUUUGGUGUUGAAUGCGCGUACCUGCUGGACUUGCUGUAUCUUCAUAUAUUUUUAAUUUUGUAAAGAUGGUGAGUGAGGUGAAUUAUCUUGUCUUGGAUAAUACAUAUGUAAACAUGUAUAUCUGAUAUUAUAAGCAGGAUAUGCAUACUUUUCAUUUCUAGAAAAUUGAUUGAUAUUUGUGAUUUUUUUUUUUUUUUUUUUUUUUUUUUUUAUGGAUAUGUUAGUGUGAGUGCUGGAGUCACUUUUGAAAGAUUUUCUUCAUUCUUAUAUUUCAAUAUUUAUUUUGCAUUUUAUAUUUUGUAUGGAAAGAUUGUGUUAUUGUAGGAAAUGAAUCUAAAGAUAUUGGAAAACUUAUUUCUCGAGGCAUUUAAAGAAACUGUUGUUUAUGGAUUCAUUUGCUAACUGGUCAUAUUCCCAAUAUAUGAGAGGGUAUGAUUUGAAAUUGAUAGAGGAUUAACAGGGAAGUAAUUUUAUAAAAUACAUUUUCUCUUUUCUUUUUUGACUCUUGAAUGUUCAUGCAAUCUGCAUUAGAUCUCAUGAUAUCGGUACAGUUUCGUACGCUUUAUGGAGAGUACCUCACCACUAAAUCAGUAAAUAAAAAAGAAAGGAAAAAAGUAAUUUACAGAAGCCUUACCAUGCCAAAUGUCCACCAUAGAUGUUAUGAUUAUCUCAGUUGUAUAUGUACAUACCAUAUAUGGGUUAUAUAUAUCAGAUAUAUGGCUGUGACCUACCCUAUUGAUUUAGGAUGUCUGUCGUGGAACAUGCAAGGCGUCUGGACCACAGUGCUAUGUGUGCUAUUAUUAGUUCCUCUUUGUGUAUCAGUUUAAUAACUUAUCUUUUAUUUAUCAUGAAAUAUAAAUGUGCAUGUCCUUUUUUUUCAGUUUAAUAAGAGUGGGCACUAUUUUGCAUAUACACACAAGUAAACAUGUGUAUGUGUGUAUGUAUGCAUGUGUAUCAUGUAAUAGCUCAUCUAUAUGUUAGUGUAUAUGAAGUUUCAUAGAUGGUACUUGAUCAUUUUUCUUAGAAUAUUAAGAUCCAGAUACUGCAGUGCAUACCUGAACAGUAUACUUUCAUAGGUAGUAGAUUAUUGCCUUGUGAAAAAGAUUUUAUCAUUAUUAUUGUAAUAAUUAUUAUUGGUUUGUCAUUAUUAAUAUUAUUAUUGAACUUGUAUAUCAAUUUGCAUUACUGUUGUUUUUAUUAUUUUUACCAUUAUUGAUAAAUUUUAUUGUUCAUAAAGAAAAUGUAGACCUUCUUUUUCAGUGAAAUAAAUUUUAUUAAGCCAGAUGCAAGAGUGAUAAAUAAUAUAUACAGGUUGUGAUUAACAGAUGAAUCCAUUUUACAAUCUGUUUUCAUUCCAUAAGAUUUUUUACUAAUGAAACAUCAGUUUUAAGUAAAAUAUUAUGCUCCUUUCAGUCUGUAUGUAUAGUAAAGACUGAAUUUUGAGUUUAGCUCCAUAUUUGUUUGAAAGCACUACAUGCCAAUUAUUUAUUUAUUUAAUAAUGGUGUACAAUAAACAUAACUUCAUAGAUAUUAGUACCUUUUCAAUAGCUAUAAUCCUCGCACUCCAUCAGUGUUAUAUUUUCCUUAUAGCAAUUCUUUACAUUGUAGGUUCCAGUAAGGGAGGUCCUUUUAAAGGAUAUUAUUUUAAGAUUCCUCUACCUGAGCCUGUCUUCAUGAACUUACAUAAGCUUUAACUUAUGAUACUGUAUUACCAAAGGUACUGUACUUUCAUUCUUUCUCACGUGCUGCCUUAAAUAAUCGACUGAUACGAAUGCUCUUGCACUCGUUUGUAAACUUUCCUCUUGUACUGUCACGACCUUUAAAUAUUAAUGUUUUCUGAGAUUUCAUGUCUUGGUUUGAAAUAUAUUUUGUGAAAAUU